UACGUAGGGGGCAAGCGUUGUCCGGAAUCAUUGGGCGUAAAGAGCGCGUAGGCGGCCCGAUAAGUCCGCUGUGAAAAGUCAAGGGCUUAACCCUUGAAUGCCGGUGGAAACUGUCGGGCUAGAGUCCGGAAGAGGCGAGUGGAAUUCCUGGAUGUAGCGGUGAAAUGACGCAGAUAUCAGGAGGAACACCGAUGGCGAAGGCAGCUCGCUGGGACGGUACUGACGCUGAGGCGCGAAAGCGUGGGGAGCAAACAGG
rnacentral:rRNA from 1 species